rnacentral:lncRNA from 1 species
CCUAGGAACAACCUUUGGUCUUGUUUCAGGGCCAUGUUGUCUUGGCACUUGUAAACAGAAAAGAAACAAGUCAAAGACUAAAUAUAACUGGGUGGCUAAAAGUAGAUCAGGAAAGCAGGGAAGCAAGUGGUGUUUAUUACUCAGCUAUGACAGCACCUGCAGGCUUGUGUUUGAAAAGAGUAUGGAGAGCAUCUGCACCUCCAACAGCACCUGGAGCAACUGCAAGCAAGCAGGCUUAGCUGUGAAGGAAGGGAGCAGGCACGACACAACAGUGACACUGCUUGGCAGCAAGGAACAGAGAGGAGCUGAACCAGGACCCUCCGAAUGACAGCUGUGCUGACAAGCAGUCCUUGGAAGUGUGCGAGGAAAUGAUACGUGCCUGGCAGUCUUGCUGCUGCUCCUCCACUGCUGUGCCCUCUGUGCUGAAGAUCAUAAUGAAAUCCUAAGCAGGCAGAGAACCUCCUAAAAACCAUCCAUUGUCCCUGAGGCCCUGAGCUCUGACAGGUGGUGGAUUGCCUUUCUGCUGGUGUUCAGAUGCCUGCAGUGCAGGAACCAGUAUUCACAUGGCCAACUUCCCCGUUAAAGAAAGGAUUGUUUGAUUCACCAUGCACAGUACGACUGGUCAAAAUUAUCUGUGGCUGAACUCCUCCUCACUCAGCAUCUCCUAGGUGACGGUGACUGCACGUACUCCAACGUAUUUUAAAAUAAAAUAUCCCAUGGUUACAAUUACCAGUUGAAUUAUGAGGAUAAUGGCAGUGUUUGGUAUCUCACAUAAAGAACUCCAGGAGGCCACUUGGAUUGUAAAUACUGUGCUUGUUAAUCCAAAUCAAAAAAAACCCACAUGGGACAGAAUUUAAAGUGCUGUAUGCAAUAUUUUCAUUUCUCUUGUCUAUCUGAACAGUACAAACAUCAAUGGAGCUGGUUUGGAGUUAAGAGAAAAGGGAAAAAACAUUCAAAAAUAUCCCAGAAUAAGAAAAAAAUAGCAUUUGGAGUCUUUUGAUGGAUCUUCCCAGGACUGCUGAAAAAUCAGGAUCUUCUAGAAUUGUAUUACUCAUUACAGGAAGAACAGAAGUAUUGCCUUACCGCUAGUAGUGGGCAUAUAAAUCUGAGGCAAGCACUCAUAAACGAAAAGGCAGCUGGGAUGUGCAUAAACGUGAGCCCGUGGGUUUGGUGACACGUAGCGAAGUGGUGCUUACAGUACAGGAGUACUGGGACAAGUGGGAGGAAUAAUGAUCUCCUGCUGCUGCUGCUGAGACAUAGCUGGAGCAUGAGCAUGGAGGAGGGAUAAGAGAUGUGUUCAGACAGAAGGCCUGCUCCUUCACCCAGCCCUCAGCUUCCUUUACCAG